CUGGGGAAUUCCAUCUCAUGGUUGUGUAUUUUGGUAAAAAUAACAGGCGAAGAAAAGUAUUUAAAGAGAGAAAACCCUACCCGAGAAUUUUCUUCAUCACAGUGGUCACUUUCAUCUUCCUCUGAUGAAUCAGACAUGGCGGGCAGAAUUCGGCGUCUUUUUGGAGUCUUGGCAAUUUGGCCUGAACUACAACAUGUACAAGCCCCAUUUGUUGCCUGUUUUGGUGUGGAACCUCCGCAGGAACUUACGACACUCUCUUCAUCUUCAUCACUAAAGAUUCUUUCACUAUCCGAAUCGAGAGGACGACUCAUUUUUUUUACAAGACUCAAGAUAUUGACGACAGCGACAACUCGGCAAAAACAAUACCGCCUCAGUGCAGUGGGGAUGGGCUAGGCGGGAACUCCAGUUAGUCAUGUAAACAGGAACCCCCUGAAACCCCAGUUUUUAUACAUGUGCUUGGAAGCUGUGGAGAGCAUCAUUGUUCAGGACAUUUUUCAAAUUUUUAUUGGUACAUACAGUAAUACACCAGUUAAUGAGCCCUAGCUGCUACCAUUUGUGCUCUUACAACUCCUGUGAAAGCUGAAUAUCCAUCAAUAAAAGUUGCUUGAUGUUGCUAAUUUUCACACGAGAUACUGACCCGUAAAGU